rnacentral:rRNA from 1 species
UACAGAGGGUGCGAGCGUUGUUCGGAAUUAUUGGGCGUAAAGGGCGCGUAGGCGGUGCGGUAAGUCACCUGUGAAAUCUCCUGGCUCAACUGGGAGCUUGCAGGCGAAACUGCCGUGCUGGAGUGUGGGAGAGGUGCGUGGAAUUCCUGGUGUAGCGGUGAAAUGCGUAGAUAUCGGGAGGAACACCUGUGGCGAAAGCGGCGCACUGGACCAUAACUGACGCUGAGGCGCGAAAGCGUGGGGAGCGAACCGG